UACGUAGGUGGCAAGCGUUAUCCGGAAUUAUUGGGCGUAAAGCGCACGUAGGCGGCUUGGCAAGUCGGAUGUGAAAUCCCUCGGCUCAACCAAGGAAGUGCAUCCGAAACUGCUGAGCUUGAGUACUUAAGAGGAUCGCGGAAUUCCUGGUGUAGAGGUGAAAUUCGUAGAUAUCGGGAGGAACACCAGUGGCGAAGGCGGCGAUCUGGGAAGAUACUGACGCUGAGGUGCGAAAGCGUGGGGAGCAAACAGG
rnacentral:rRNA from 1 species